AGUGAAUUGCCUGAUAAAAAGGGUUAUCUUGAUAGGGUAAAUCAUGUGGAAUCCCACAUUCAUUA
rnacentral:tRNA from 1 species